CCAGAACCGGGCGGCCAGGCUUCCCGGGAUCAGCGGCGUGAGCCGAAACUGCCCAGGAAAGCCCCUGAAAGGCGGGCGCUGGUCGGUCCUCAAACACGAAGCCCCACUGUGUGCCCAGGGCUGGGGCAGCGCCUUGGACCGAGCAGCGGGUCAGCCCUGCGGAGGACCGGCCGGGUGGAGACUGGCCUGAAGAAAGACGCGGCUGGGGAGCCUGACAAGCCCGCAGGACCUGCGAGCUCGCAGACCCGCGUUCUUGUCACGGAGCCCAGGCGCGAGUGGAUCCAUGCCCGAGAACCGAAGGACGGGAGCGCCCUGGGUGAGGCGGACCCUGCCGAGGGCUGUGACCCACUUGGGCCCCAGACUUUCACCUCUGUCGGUCUGCAGGCCUGUUCUGGCUUCCAUUCCGGAGCUGUGUGCAGAGGAGUCCACUGGGGCCGGGCAGACCUGGGCCGGCGGGCACUCGGCUCUCCGCCCACUCCGGCCUCUGCUGCCCUUUCAGCUCGAAGGCGAUGGCGCCAUCCCGUCCCAGCGCACCCCUGUCUUGGGCUUGUCCUCGGACGUCCAUCCUCCGUCCCCAGAGCUGGCCCGAGGGGGGCCCCGGGGAGGCGGCGGAGGCCCAGAGCGUGGAAUAAGCGAGCCUCUGCCGUGGGAGGGCGCUGCCCCCUCGGGCUGCUGGGGACGUCCAGGGCCUGGGCUAGAAGAGCCACCUCCCAUCACUCUGGCCGGAGCAGCUGCGGCCGCCGCAUAUUAGAGGAGACGCGAGUCAGGAUGGAGAAGAGGCCGCCCAGGCUUGGGCUCAAGCCAUGGGAGAAUGGCGGAAGGGACUGGGCUGUGGGGCGUGGAGGAGACCUCGGGGAGACGAGCAUCUCCAACAACUAUCCAGCGCAGCGGCCUGAGCGUAACGAUGGGCCUGCAGAAGCCAGAAAGAGUCGGAAUCGCCCACACAGCUCCCCGACUGGCCUUGCUCAGACCUCCCGGCAUUUACUCCCACUUUCCCAAUGA
rnacentral:lncRNA from 1 species